rnacentral:rRNA from 1 species
CGCUACACAUGUAUUAAAUCUCGAAAAUAGUAUGUUGGAAUAAUUUAGAAUAUAAUGUUAAUUUAGGAGGAAGAAAUUUAAGGUAAUAAUUAAAUAAGGCAUUAUUUAUUCAUAAUAACAUUGGGUAAAAUUGAAUAAAUAUUCGACGUGGACCUAGAUUAAAUAAAUUAUAUUAAUUAGGGUUAUUAGUUAUAAGAAAUUUUUAAUAGAUUGUUACUACCAUAUGUUUGAUUAAUUUUAUUCAUUCUAGAAUGCACCAAAUAGCUAUUAAGAUUUUGUCCAAGGAGAUUGGUUCUGAUUUAAUGGCGGUUUAAGAA